UACGUAGGGGGCAAGCGUUGUCCGGAAUUACUGGGCGUAAAGCGCGUGUAGGCGGGCCGGCAAGUCUGGCGUGAAAGGCUCGGGCUCAACCCGAGAUGGCCGCUGGAAACUGCCGUUCUUGAGGGUCGAAGAGGAGAGUGGAAUUCCUGGUGUAGCGGUGAAAUGCGUAGAGAUCAGGAGGAACACCCAUGGCGAAGGCAGCUCUCUGGUCGACCUCUGACGCUGAGACGCGAAAGCGUGGGGAGCGAACGGG
rnacentral:rRNA from 1 species